UUCAAGAGUGCAUUCGCCAAUCCGGGCGAGC
rnacentral:sRNA from 1 species